rnacentral:rRNA from 1 species
AUUGAACGCUGGCGGCAUGCUUUACACAUGCAAGUCGAACGGUAACAGGCCGCAAGGUGCUGACGAGUGGCGAACGGGUGAGUAAUGCAUCGGAACGUGCCCAGUCGUGGGGGAUAACGCAGCGAAAGCUGCGCUAAUACCGCAUACGGUCUAUGGAUGAAAGCGGGGGACCGUAAGGCCUCGCGCGAUUGGAGCGGCCGAUGUCAGAUUAGGUAGUUGGUGGGGUAAAGGCUCACCAAGCCAACGAUCUGUAGCUGGUCUGAGAGGACGACCAGCCACACUGGGACUGAGACACGGCCCAGACUCCGACGGGAGGCAGCAGUGGGGAAGUUUGGACAAUGGGCGCAAGCCUGAUCCAGCAAUGCCGCGUGCAGGAAGAAGGCCUUCGGGUUGUAAACUGCUUUUGUACGGAACGAAACGGUCCUGGUUAAUACCCGGGGCUAAUGACGGUACCGUAAGAAUAAGCACCGGCUAACUACGUGCCAGCCGCCGCCGUAAAAC